AGGAGGCGGAUACAAAUUGCUCCCAAUUUAAAGUUUCAACGGUUUCUCAGGGAGCCACUCACUGUUUCUAUAACCCAAAAGAAAACCUUUACUGUGGUCCACAUGAGUUCACAUGUAUAGAAGCUGAUCGUUGUAUCCCGGAACAGAAACGCUGCGAUCGUAACAAUGACUGUAAUGACAGCGAGGAUGAAAUUGGAUGUGAUUUCCAGCAAGUUGUAAGCAAGUGUAGAGGAGGAGAGUUUCAGUGUGACCAGGGUGUUUGUUUCCCGGAUGAAUGGUGGUGUGACGGCUAUAGAGACUGUAAGGAUUUUUCUGACGAGACGU